rnacentral:rRNA from 1 species
GAUGAACGCUGGCGGCGUGCCUAAUACAUGCAAGUCGAGCGAACAGACGAGGAGCUUGCUCCUCUGACGUUAGCGGCGGACGGGAGUGUCACACGUGGAUAACCUACCUAUAAGACUGGGAUAACUUCGGGAAACCGGAGCUAAUACCGGAUAAUAUAUUGAACCGCAUGGUUCAAUAGUGAAAGACGGUUUUGCUGUCACGUAUCGAUGGAUCCGCGCCGCAUUAGCUAGUUGGUAAGGUAACGGCUUACCAAGGCAACGAUGCGUAGCCGACGUGAGAGGGUGGUCGGCCGCACUGGAACUGAGACACGGUCCAGACUCCUACGGGAGGCAGCAGUAGGGAAUCUGCCGCAAUGGGCGAAAGCCUGACGGAGCAACGCCGCGUGAGUGAUGAAGGUCUUCGGAUCGUAAAACUCUGUUAUUAGGGAAGAACAAAUGUGUAAGUAACUAUGCACGUCUUGACGGUACCUAAUCAGAAAGCCACGGCUAACUACGUG